AGCAGUUAUCUUAACGCGCAUCAGAGUCUGGAAAUAAACACAAACAGCUAUUGGAGCUCGCCGCUGUCUGUUUAAAAACAACAGGUUGGAAAUGCAGAGUUCCGGAUAAAUCUAGAAGAAUCACAUCCGAAGUAUUGACAGAAUGAAAACAUUAGAUAAAGCGACAUGGUGAGAUUUGGGAGGUGGUCGCCUCAAGGGGUUGUGUCCUUGCUCCAGCUCUGGCUGAGGCACCACGCAGGCUGAAGGAGGGGAGGAGGGACACUAUGACAGCAAUACAGCCACGGCCCAUCAGAAGCUGCCUGUGGCCCCCUUGUGAUUAAAGCAGCAAGAGGCGGAAAAAAGGGACAGAGGGAGAGGAAGAAUGGGAAAGAGAGAGAGAGAGAAAGAGAGAGAGAGAGAUACUAUCAUCUGUUGCAUGAAAAGAGGACAGAUAAGUGCCAUCCUACAUUCAUUAGGUCUUCUGCUCAAUUAAACCAAAAUUAUUUCUUAUCUUCCCUCCCUGGCUAAACUGUCAGCAUGUCAAAAGAUUGAAACAUUGCUGCAAGCUUGAUGGCAAAAUAAUAUUACAACGUCUAGGAAGGAAGGGGGGGCAAAAGACUCCCUCUGUAAACAAGGCUGUGUUUGGGUGCAUAAACCGUAUAAUAUUUCUCUCACAUUUAAGAAAAGAACGGGAGAAAGCAUCUCCACAGUGAUUACAAAGCACGAGUGGAAUUUAAGUAGAUGGAAAUAAAUGUAGCGGCACUAAAUCAAAGCAGGAGGUAGCUGUUACUGUUUUUGGUAUUCAGAAGAUGGUGCUAUUUGUUUGAGUAUGCAUUGUAUUCAUGAAUCUGUUUAUUUGCUCCCUGUGGCUUUCACAGCUGCCCUCUGCAGAAAGAUUGUGUUUUAUCAACACUGCUUGACACAGCUAGGAGUCCCUCUUACAAACAUAUGCACGUUCUAUAUUAAUUUGUUUGAGUUUUCAGGAGGAAAAAUAUAAAAAAAUAUGUUGACAUGAAUCCCAUUCAGCUCAAAUUGGAACUCCUAUGCCCCUAUUGUGUAAAAGCCAUGCAUGUCAGGAAGUCAUCUUUAUUCAGGAGACGGUAUCUAUCACUACAGCUGCUGCUAAUUCCACCACGAGAACUACUAUUUUUAAAUACAUAUUUCUGCUGCUGUUAUUAUAAGCACCACAAAGUGCAUAUAGUCUUCCCCUUAAUUUACAUUGUAGAUCUACGAAAGGUUUCAGAUUUAAUAAUGCGUCCAGUGUCACAGGAAGUUCAAAACUAAGUACUUGCUUUAAGAACAUGAUUAGAUCUGAAAGUCAAAUAAAAAGAAAAUGUAAUCAGUGUGAGGAAGUUGAAGUCAAUUUAUUGGCUGUGUGAUCUUGUCUCAUGCUUUUCCCCCUCACUGAAACACUUGCACCAGUUGCAGAGAAGGAGAGGGACUUUUGACUGUGGCAAAAAAAGAGGAAAGAGUCGAGGUAAUUUACACUAAUUUGAGCCAACUCAAAUCUCAGAGCCUAUUCCACAGGAGACCUUGAGAGCUCUUUGAGACAGUCAAAGAACUGUGCUUGUGUAGCCAGGAGAACAAGAUCAUUAUUUCCAUCGCACUUGUUCUGUAUACUGUAAGCCAGAGACAAGGCCAGAGGGAAAGGAAUUGGCAUUGAUUUUUUUCUUUAGAAAUUGAUUUUUCUCUUCACUGACAACAGGGUGAAGGCUUCAAAAAAUAUCAGCAGGAGUGAAUGUGAACAGCAGCAGUUCAUGAAGUCUAAAAAUGUCCAAGAUUGAAACCUCUCAUGUUGUCAUCCACAGGGUUUUAAGAGCAAAAUAAGACCAACCCUUAGAAUAUACAAACCCUAACAGUAUGUGUGGUGGGACAAUAUGUUUCUUUAAGAUAUUUUGCUUGCCAACUAUCCAGCGUGGCCGUUACUUUCCCCCAUGUAAGGUUAGACAUAGCUACACUGUUCGAGAUUAUUUGUCUUAGGGGAUGCAGGGAAUGAUAUUUCAGUGAUGCCAAAUUUACCUGAUCAACAUACUUGUACAGUUUUAUGUUGUUGUGAUGCAUGACAUCAAUAGUUUUAUGUUGAGCUACUAAAAGAAACAGGAGAUGCUAAGUUAACUUUUACAAGUGUAAAGUUGGACACUACAUUGUUUUAGUAUUACUUUAUAAUGUUACAUUCAGGUUGAUAUGUCCAUCUGUUGUUUCUUGUAGGUGUUGGGUUUGCCAUGUUAUCUUAGCUUUUCUGGAUAGUAUUUUUCUUUGUUUUGGAUCUUUGCAAUAAUAAUAUAUAUACAUUUGUAUAAAGCAGGAAAUUUGUCCUUCCCAUGUCGAUAACAGUAUUAAAACAUGAAAAAUAUCCCCUUUGAGGUACAUUUAGAAGGAAUAAAAUAUUUGUAAUGAAUUUGCGAUUAAUCGUAAAUUAACUGAGGACAGUUUUUGCUGACACAACAAAUAGGCAUUCCUCUGUCUGCAGUGUGCUAAUCUGCUGUUAGGAUUGGCAGGCUGUGAUUUUUAUAGUAAUGGUGACGUGCUGUUUACUUUGGACACAAGAGGGCACCUUUAUGCACCAAUUUACCAAAGAAGAACAAGUCUCAACAACCUGAAGGAGAGAGGGGAAAGGUUAUGUGCUAACUGGAGGGAAGGAGAAAUCCACAGUUACCUGGUGGUGCAUGAGUGUAAAGUUUAAGCCCAUGCUCAUGUACCAAGAGAGCUACUGUUGUCACGAGUGGGACUUGGUGUCAACAGUACUUCAGGACCUUUCUGAAUCAGCGGACACCAGCAGCUCGCAUGCAGCUGCAGUCUGAAUCACUCGUGUUCCCUGCCCUAGUAAUAAAGACUGAAUAUUCUAAUAAUAAUGCAUUUUAUUUGUAACUCGCUUGGCUUUAAAAGCAGAAAAAAGACAGAGCAUAAAAACAGAAUAAAGAGCAACAUUAAAAACAAGA